rnacentral:rRNA from 1 species
GACGAACGCUGGCGGCGUGCUUAACACGUGCAAGUCGAACGGAAAGGCCUGCUUUCCCUUGUGGAUUGCGGGUACUCGAGUGGCGAACGGGUGAGUAACACGUGAGUGAUCUGCCCCCAACUUGGGUAUAAGCCUGGGAAACUGGGUCUAAUUCCCGAUAGGACUGCAGGGUGGUGCCUGUGGUGGAAAACGAUUUUCUAGUGGUUGGGGAUGAGCUCGCGGCCUAUCAGCUUGUUGGUGGGGUAAUGGCCUACCAAGGCGGCGACGGGUAGCCGGCCUGGGAGGGUGGACGGCCACAUUGGGACUGGGAUCCGGCCCAGACUCCUACGGGAGGCAGCGGUGGGGAAGAAUGCACCGUGGGCGGAAGCCUGAUGCAGCGACGCCGUGUGGAGGAUCACGGGAUUGGGGUAGUAAACUACUUUCGACCGCGAGAAGGCCACCUGGUUGGAAGGGUGGUGACGGUAGUGGUAGAAGAAGCACCGGCUAACUACGUG